rnacentral:rRNA from 1 species
CCUACGGGAGGCAGCAGUGGGGGAUAUUGCACAAUGGGGGAAACCCUGAUGCAGCGACGCCGCGUGAGUGAAGAAGUAUUUCGGUAUGGAAAGCUCUAUCAGCAGGGGAGAAAAUGACAGUACCUGACCAAGAAGCCCCGGUUAACUACGUGCCAGCAGCCGCGGUAAUACGGAGGGGGUAAGCGUUAUCCGGAUUUACUGGGUGUAAAGGGGGCGUAGACGGUUAUGUAGGUCUGGAGUGAAAGCCCGGGGCCCAACCCCGGGACUGCGUUGGAAACUGUGGAACUUGAGUACAGGAGGGGCAUGCGGAAUUCCUGGUGUAGCGGUGAAAUGCGUAGAUAUCAGGAGGAACACCGGCGGCGAAGGCGGCCUGCUGGACUGCAACUGACGUUGAGGCUCGAAAGCGUGGGGAGCAAACAGGAUUAGAUACCCCAGUAGUC